GCAGUCAUGGCCGAGUGGUUAAGGCGUUAGACUCGAAAUCUAAUCCCCUCUGGGGUCGCAGGUUCGAAUCCUUAUGACUGCG
rnacentral:tRNA from 1 species